rnacentral:rRNA from 1 species
UACGUAGGGUGCAAGCGUUAAUCGGAAUUACUGGGCGUAAAGCGUGCGCAGGCGGAUGCUUAAGCCAGACGUGAAAUCCCUGGGCUUAACCUAGGAAUGGCGUUUGGAACUGGGCAUCUAGAGUGCGGCAGAGGGAGGUGGAAUUCCUGGUGUAGCAGUGAAAUGCGUAGAGAUCAGGAGGAACACCGAUGGCGAAGGCAGCCUCCUGGGCUGACACUGACGCUCAUGCACGAAAGCGUGGGGAGCAAACAGG